AUCCGGCUGAUGAGUCCCAAAUAGGACGAAACGCGUAUCCUAGAU
rnacentral:hammerhead_ribozyme from 1 species